rnacentral:lncRNA from 1 species
UCAAAGUCAGCUUCUCCGCUCAGGGAGUACAACUUGUCAGUGGAUGCACUUCCUUAAAUUAAGUGACUCAGAAGAUUGAAAACAUUCUUACAAUUUUUGGCAUCAUGAAUUUGAUGAAAUAUACAAAAUAAAUUCUCUGUAAAAGGAGGGCAGCAGCUUCCAACAAUAUGACCACCCGACCUUCUUGGGGGGAUUCAGUAGACUUCUCACUGGCUCAUUAGUGGUGCUUAUAAAACAAGAGCAAUUGAAAAAAGGAAGGAACAGCUGUUUGGAAAUGCAAGGAGAGAAAUUAGAGCAGAAAUGCAGCUCACACUCUGUCCCUUCUCAAGUCUCUGGUACUGAAAACAAAAAAGGCUCAUAAGUAAAAGAUCUAUCCAACCCUAUGCCUUCAGACUCCGGUGAGAGAAGGUAAGACAGUAAGGAAUAAAAAGGAAUUUUAUAACUUUUCA